rnacentral:ncRNA from 1 species
UGACCUCAAAUCAGGUAGGAUUACCCGCUGAACUUAAGCAUAUCAAUAAGCGGAGGAAAAGAAACCAACUGGGAUUACCUUAGUAACGGCGAGUGAAGCGGUAAAAG